GGUGUUUCAGGCUGGGGUAUAAG
rnacentral:piRNA from 1 species